rnacentral:misc_RNA from 1 species
GAACGCACAUUGCGCCCUCUGGUAUUCCGGGGGGCAUGCCUGUUCGAGCGUCAUUAUAACCACUCAAGCUCACGCUUGGUCUUGGGGUUCGCGGUUCCGCGGCCCCUAAAAUCAGUAGCGGUGCCUGUCGGCUCUACGCGUAGUAAUACUCCUCGCGAUUGAGUCCGGUGGGAUACUUGCCAGCAACCCCCAAUUUUUUACAGGUUGACCUCGGAUCAGGUAGGGAUACCCGCUGAACUUAAG